GGAGAGAUGGCCGAGUUGGCUGAAGGCGCUCGCCUGCUAAGCGAGUUAGGGGGGAAACUUCCUACGAGGGUUCGAAUCCCUCUCUCUCCGCCA
rnacentral:tRNA from 1 species